rnacentral:lncRNA from 1 species
GAUACUUCUAUACAACCUAAUAUGCCAUCGAAGCCUUAAGCCUCAAUAACGACAGAAGCCAUUUUCCACUAUAAAUUUUCAGUAUAAACAGUCUUAACGGAGCCAAUGCAAAGCCAAGAAUUGAUUCAGGGAGGAUGAGAGAGCUCAAUUCUGUCAAAAUCUGUGCAGUUAUGACUCAACUCCUCGGAUCUUCUUAUCCAUGAAACUUUAUCACUUCUGUCUCAGAUGGCUCACUCUCUCUUUCCAUUUUCAUUUCUUCCAGUGUUUCAGACAGGGGAAGAGAGAGAGGGCCAACAAGACAGGAGUGGUGAUUGUGAGAAAAGAAGAUGAGAGGUGUUCCAGGAAAAGCUGAACUGAAUUUGGCAGGAUCAAGUUCUCUUAAUUCUCUCAUAUUCUGCAAUUUAUUUAUUCUGACAUGGCUUCAAUCAAGAACAGAAUAUGUCUGUUUCAAACAAAAAAAAAAGGUAAAAUUAUUUUCAUUUUUUAUAGUGGAUUAAUCGAGUUCUUUUAUGCAAGAUAAUUUUUUUUGUUGGUGAUCUCUUGUAGCACUGACAACACUUGAGGCAGAUGACACGCCGGUGAUGAACAGCCAAGGACAGCGGAUUGUUUACAAGAUUGUAGCCGGUCUAAUGCUUUGUUUGGUUGUAGCAGUGUCAACACUUGAGGCAGAUGACACUCCGGUGAUGAACAUACAAGAAAAGAAAAAAAUUUAUAUAAAUUAAAAAAUUAUUUUUAGAUUCACGACGUCAAAUAAAUUUAUUUUAAAUUAAUAAAAUAUAAUUUAAAAAACUAAUUCUUUAAUUUUAUAAUAUAAAAAUUCAAUUACUAAUUCUAAUAGCUUAUGGGAAUUAUUCUAUAAUAUUUUUUUAUGUUAUAAAACUGAGAGAAUAGGAUUUAUGAUAUGAGUGUAAAUUUAGAUGGGGAGAAAAAUGUUUCUCUUUUUUUAUUAUUUUUUUUAUUUGCCAGCUAUUCUAUUACAAUGUUAUUUAUUUCUGUUAUUUAAAUUUAUAUGUACAGGAGCGUCAGACUUCCGUUUUACAAUUAUUUAAACUUUUUUUAAUGCGUAUGUGGAUAGGAUUGUAAAGUACUGAAUUUACUAUUCUUUCUCCCGUCACAUUACCGGACUGGAUUACUUUUCGCUAGACCUGAACUUGCGGUCGACCUGCUUCACGUGUUGAAUCAAGACUUAAGAUACUGAAUCAAUCCGCUAAAGAAUUUAUUGAGAUUUAGACCUGUUUUAUAUUAUUUUCUUGAUUUCGGCGUCGUUUACAGUAAAUCCGCCAUCAUCAGUUUUUUCUUUUACUUAACUUAAUUCACCUACAUUAUUGAAAAUCCAUUUAUUAAUAACAUGUUUUAAAUUUAUAGGACAGUGAUUCCUAUGCAGAUUGAAAUUAAAAUGAGAAAUAAAUUUUAUUUGUAAAUAUAUUUAUGAAAAAAAUUGUAAAUAAAAUGUUACAUUUAAUAUUUUAACAAGUAAUAUAUGAAAUUCAAUCUUCUUAAAUUAAAUAGGGAGAAGUCUAUGUUUGAGUCUUUCUUUUCCUGAUCUUCCACUAAAAAAACUAUUGAUUUAUAAUAUCUUUUACUAUAAAAUUUACAUUAUUUUAAUG